UACGGAGGGUGCGAGCGUUGUCCGGAAUCACUGGGCGUAAAGGGCGCGUAGGCGGCCUGAUAAGUAGGGGGUGAAAUCCUGCGGCUUAACCGCAGGGCUGCCUUCUAAACUGUCAGGCUGGAGCACAGUAGAGGCAGGUGGAAUUCCCGGUGUAGCGGUGGAAUGCGUAGAGAUCGGGAAGAACAUCAGUGGCGAAGGCGGUCUGCUGGGCCGUUGCUGACGCUGAGGCGCGACAGCGUGGGGAGCAAACAGG
rnacentral:rRNA from 1 species